rnacentral:rRNA from 1 species
UACGAAGGGGGCUAGCGUUGUUCGGAAUCACUGGGCGUAAAGGGCGUGUAGGCGGGUAGAUAAGUCGGGCGUGAAAUCCCUAGGCUCAACCUAGGAACUGCACUCGAAACUGUUUAUCUUGAGUGCCGGAGAGGAAAGCGGAAUUCCUGGUGUAGAGGUGAAAUUCGUAGAUAUCAGGAGGAACACCAGUGGCGAAGGCGGCUUUCUGGACGGUAACUGACGCUGAGACGCGAAAGCGUGGGGGAGCAAACAGG